UGGGGAAUUUUGCGCAAUGGGCGAAAGCCUGACGCAGCAACGCCGCGUGGAGGAUGAAGGUGCUCUGCAUUGUAAACUCCUGUCGGCCGGGAAGAAUCGGCGGGGUGCUAAUCAGCCCCGUCUUGACUGUACCGGCAAAGGAAGCCCCGGCUAACUCCGUGCCAGCAGCCGCGGUAAUACGGAGGGGGCAAGCGUUACUCGGAAUUAUUGGGCGUAAAGGGCGCGUAGGCGGUCUCGUGCGUCAGGGGUGAAAUACCCGGGCUUAACCCGGGAACUGCCUCUGAUACGGCGGGACUUGAGUCCGGGAGAGGGGAGCAGAAUUCCCAGUGUAGCGGUGAAAUGCGUAGAUAUUGGGAGGAAUACCAGUGGCGAAGGCGGCUCCCUGGACCGGUACUGACGCUGAGGCGCGAAAGCGUGGGUAGCAAACA
rnacentral:rRNA from 1 species